UUUAAAAUUCAGUAUGGGGCAAUUUUGCAAAAGAGCAAGACCAAAACAUAUUUACAAGACCUAAAGAUUCCAAAGUACUUCCCUCGCCCUACCAGAAGAAAUCAUGUUUUUUUACAAUGAAUCUCGUUAAGCAAUUUUUGACAUACUCAAAUCGCUAAACUGUGUUAUAUUUUGUAAACUAACAGCUAUGGCAGCUGGCCUCCCCUUUCUCAAACCCUAGAAGAAUACAGAUGCAUACUUCAGACAUGGAGCAAACUUUGCAGUUGCGGGUGCCACUGCAUUACCGGUGGAGGUUCUAGCCGGAAAGAAUUUCAACCAUGGUGACCAGCAGCUUGCUCAGUGUCCAACUUGAUUGGAUGUUCAACCAUUUCAAUGCAAUCU
rnacentral:lncRNA from 1 species